UACAGAGACCUCAAGCGUUAUCCGGAAUCAUUGGGCGUAAAGCGUACCGAUAGGUGGUUAUGAAAGUCAGAGGUGAAAUUACUGAGCUCAACUCGGUAACUGUCCUUUGAAACUUCAUGACUAGAGGGGCAAAGAGGAAGCUGGAACAAACGGUGUAGUAGUGAAAUGCGUUGAUAUCGUUUGGAGCACCAAUAGCGUAGGCAGGCUUCUGGGUGCCACCUGACACUGCUAGGACGAAAGCGUGGGUAGCGAAUGGG
rnacentral:rRNA from 1 species